rnacentral:rRNA from 1 species
UGGGGAAUAUUGCACAAUGGGGGAAACCCUGAUGCAGCGACGCCGCGUGAACGAAGAAGGUAUUCGUAUCGUAAAGUUCUGUCCUAUGGGAAGAUAAUGACAGUACCAUAGAAGAAAGCUCCGGCUAAAUACGUGCCAGCAGCCGCGGUAAUACGUAUGGAGCGAGCGUUGUCCGGAAUUAUUGGGCGUAAAGGGUACGCAGGCGGUUUAAUAAGUCGAAUGUUAAAGAUCGGGGCUCAACCCCGUAAAGCAUUGGAAACUGAUAAACUUGAGUAGUGGAGAGGAAAGUGGAAUUCCUGGUGUAGUGGUGAAAUACGUAGAUAUUAGGAGGAAUACCAGUAGCGAAGGCGACGUUCUGGACACAAACUGACGCUGAGGUACGAGAGCGUGGGGAGCAAACAGG